rnacentral:rRNA from 1 species
CCUACGGGUGGCAGCAGUGGGGGAUAUUGCACAAUGGGGGGAACCCUGAUGCAGCGACGCCGCGUGGGUGAAGAAGCGCCUCGGCGCGUAAAGCCCUGUCAGCAGGGAAGAAAAUGACGGUACCUGAAGAAGAAGCCCCGGCUAACUACGUGCCAGCAGCCGCGGUAAUACGUAGGGGGCAAGCGUUAUCCGGAUUUAUUGGGUUUAAAGGGUGCGCAGGCGGAUUUUUAAGUCAGCGGUCAAAUCGUGGGGCUCAACCCCAUCCAGCCGUUGAAACUGGGGAUCUAGAGUGUGCGAGAGGUAUGCGGAAUGCGUGGUGUAGCGGUGAAAUGCAUAGAUAUCACGCAGAACCCCGAUUGCGAAGGCAGCAUACCGGUGCACAACUGACGCUCAGGCACGAAAGCGUGGGUAUCGAACAGGAUUAGAUACCCCAGUAGUC